AUGAAUAAGAUGCUAGGGUGAGCAUCUCGUGCGAAUCUGUAGUGGGUGAAACGUUUGAUUCGAUGCAUGACUUGGAGUUCCUAUUUAUAGUGGGCAAGUGUGGAGUUGUUGUAGUCCGAUAGAAAAUCUUGGCUUCGAGUUACGUGAUUUCUGGGAGAAAAUAGUUAGAAAGAAAGUCCGAAAUAGUGGUGUAUUAUUUUGUGGUAAGGGUUGGUUGAAGUGAUGUGGGAGGUACCCAUAGUAAUUCUAAGGUGUACCUUUACGAGUUGUUGAGGACCCUAAUCCUGAGCGAAUUAGUCACAUGGGAUUUGUGAUUAGUAUAGGGUUGCAGGAAGUUGCUACAUAAAAAGCUAAACGUCAAUUUAGAUAAGUCAUGAUUGAAGGCCAAUUUGUCGACUAUUUUUAUCCGCAACAGAAAGCAGUUGGGAACAUUUUGGGAUAAUGCUAGUUAUGUCAGCACCUAUUCUGGUUCCUACACUCUAAUUAUGGAUAAGUUUUUUUUAUCUUUUGAGCAAUUUAUUAAGAUGGUGGUGGUAAUAUCUUUUGGAAAUGUCGGAUAAUAGUAGUCGAUGAAUAUUAAGAUUUUUGAUGAUUUUGGUCUCUAUUGUGGGUUAGUUGAAGUUUGUUAAAGCACUAUGUGUAAUGACUUGGAUUGUUUUUCCUUGGAUUGGUUUUUUUUCAAAAGUCAUUGGUCAGUGCGUUGUGACAACUUCUUGUUAUGCCACAGUCGGGAAAUUUUAGAAAUUGAAUGGUGGCACUAAAUGUUUUGAGUUUCAAGCAAGUUUGGAACCGUGGAGUGAGAUGUCAGUUGUAUUAUUUUAAUCGUGGGGCCAUUAUGGAUUCUUUUAUAAUUCUAGGUGUUGAAGUUUGGUCUCCAGAUUUGUGGAGUGUUUUGGGAAGAUGAUAAAUUUAAAUGGAAUUGAAAAGUAAUGGUGGAGUGAGGGCAAGAUGGUUGUGGUCACUCCAGUUUUACGACAACACCUGGUGAAUUUAUUACGUGUUGUUAUGGGUAUUCCAUAGCAGUUGUGUGGUAGCAGUGGAAUAAAGCCCACUAGAUCGUGGAGCAAGAGUGCAUGGGUGUCCAAAGUAAUUUUCUUUUUUAAGCAGUGUUGUUCCGGGUAGUUGAGAUAAGUCUUGAAUUUGUGAUCGAAGUUGGUUUAUUGACAUCACUUCGUUAGCACUUGGUGACUAGCUCCGACACAUCACUAGGAGGAUCUGUUCACUCACCUUAUUUCUAAUUCGGUGAGAUGGAGCAGAGUUUUUUGUUGUGGUGUGUGUGGGAAUAUAUAAAUUAUUCCUACUGUAGUUUUUGGGUAGCAUCCUCAGAGCUUGAAAUUAUGGAAUGCGAAUUCAAUGUUACGAUUUGAAGGUUAGAGAUUCUGGUUUUUUUGUCGAAGUUUUGAGGUAAAUGAUAAAUUGGUAGUUGUGUCGUAGUCAUGGAUCUGGAAUAAAUCCAAUGGUGAUCCCAAGUGAGCUGGAGUUCAUUUAAGCGAGGAAUCUUGGUGCCGUAAAUCCUGUGUGGUAGUUUGAGAGUUGCAUGGUGAUGUUGAUUAGAUGGUUUGUGUCGUUGUAAGUAUAUUUCAUGAUGUAGCAUUAUGGGAGAGGGUUUUCCCCUGUUGACUCAAGAAGCGUCUAGAGUCAGUUUAUUAAGAGUUUUAAUAUUGAGAGUAGUAGAUAUUGAUAGGUUGAUCAACGUCUCUUCUCGGGAUCGUAUUGUGGUGGGACCACUCAUUAAUCCAAGUUUGAUUUGGGAGGUCUUCGCUAUUUGGUUGUGCGUUCAUCCGUUGGUGUCAGGAUGAUUAGUUGAGGUUUCUAGUGCAAUUUCGGAACAGGUUCUGGCGGAUAUCAGAGAAUUGUGGAGCUUUUGAGCUCGAAGUUAGAGGACUUGCCUUUCGUGUGCUUUAACUUAUUUCUUCUAGAACUUGAGCUGAGUUUAGCCAUGAGUUUUGAUUCUUACUUGAAUUCAUAGUUUUCGUUGGAUGGUGAACCAUAAAGUGUAGUAGUGGGCCUGUUACAGAAAUUAAUUUUUUUAUAUACGAUGGUUAACUUGUUGUUGCAAGCUCGGUUAUCGGAGAAUCUUUUUGGUGGGAAGCCGUGGGCCUAGAAAGUGUAGGAGAUUUGAGCAUACCUGAUUUCCGAUCGUAUUCUGCUAUCAAAUUAAUUGUUAUUAGAGAUAGAAAAAGAAGUGUGUUUGUCGGGUCCAAAGGUUUUGGCAUUUAGAAUCAUUCUUGUGGAAUGGCUAGAGUGAGCCGUGUGUUUUUAAUUGUUGCACUUGGGGUCGCGGUUGCACCUGAAUAAGUAGCAUGGCUGGACAUGUAAUUUUUGUUAAUGUUUAAGGAAGGUGUUCUAUUUAUGUGGAUUUCAAUGUCAAGUUUAGCAUCAUGAAUUGAUUGUGCCAAUUUUCGUGGGCAUUAUUAGUCAGUUUUUGCUUAUGGCGAGCAAGGAGGAAUAUCCAAUUUCCACAUGAUAGUCAUGUUUCAAAUUGUCUUCUGGUUUGUGGUAAAGAGAUUAGUGGAGAUAGCAGAAUCAGGAGAGAGUUGGAUUUCCCAUAAGCUGCUAGUUUGUGGUGCUCAAAAUAGUAAUGUAAUAGUUUUGGUGGAAAGACCUAUGUGACGUAGUGUUGAUCUCUACAUAAUGUCAUUUCGAGAUUCGAGGUUAUCAUUUGUUGGUGGACUGGUCACUUAGGCAGAGCAAGGUUGUCUUGUGGACUUGCAAGAGCUUUCACUCCGCGAAAGACUCUACGAAGUGUCUCAAUAUAAGAAGUGAUUGUUGCAGUUCUGCAGUGUGUGCAUCCUUAAAUUUGUUCAAUUAGCGGGUCUUUAUUUUGACCCCUAUGAGCAUGUGCGAAUACGUGAACUUUAGUUUCCUAGCAAGUGGGCUUUAUCGUCGAGUUUGUGAGCAACGUAAUGACGAGGUUGUUGUAUGACGUUAGGAGACUUUAGCCCGAUGGUGAUAGCAAAUUUAUGCAUUUUAUUUGGGUUAGCUAUUUCCAUUGCUCAGGAAAGAGUGUGCAUACCUACGGGUACUCGUACUCUGGAGCAAGUAUCACUGAACCCACUUACGUGUAAACGUUAGUGGUUCAAUGAAGGAUUUAGAGUCCUUGAGAAGAUUGAAAUAAUUCAGGAUAAAUGGGAAGAUUAAAAUAGUCAGAGAUAGACUCAAAGCAGCUCAAAGUGGUCAGAAGAGUUAUAAAGAUGUCCGCAGGAAGGACCAUGAGUUUCAAGUGGGUGAUUGGGCGAUCAUGAAACUACCUCCUUGGAAAGGGGUGGUACGUUUUGGUAACAUGGAAAGCUUGGUCCGAGAUUUAUUGGUCCUUAUGGGUUUUCAGAUCAAGUUGGCUCUCUUGCGUAUCGGUUAGUUUUGCCUCCAGAGUUAUCCAAGAUACAUACUGAGUUUCAUGUAUCCAUGCUUCGCAAGUUUAUUGCCGAUCUCUCUCAUGUGUUGCGAGAGCAGCCAAUUAAUUAGGAGAAAGUUUUUACCUAUGAUGAGGAGCUGGUUCAGAUUCUUGACCAAAAAGGAGCAUAUGUUUAGGAGCAAAUCUUUUCCACUUGUUAAAAUUAUGUGGAGGAGUCAUCAAGUAGAGGAAGCUACAUGGAAAUCGGUGGAGCAGAUGAGGCAUCAAUAUCCUUUCCUCUUUGAUGAGUAUGUAAAUUUCGAGGACGAAAUUUUUAUAAGGAGGGGAGAAUUGUCACAUCCCGACUCUUAAAUUGUCACAUCCCGACCCUUAAAUUUUUACCUUAUUUACUAGCUUGGUUAUAAUAAGAAUUUUACCGUCUCCGUCAUUGAGGUAAUAGUUUAAUCGGUCCCUAGAGGUGUUUUGAGGGACGAUUAAUUUCGGGGAAUUAUUCGUAGGAGAAAAUUAUGACGACGGUAAAAAUGGUAAAUUUUAGCUGGUAAAAGGUAAUUUUUAUUCGGGUAUUAUUUUUCCGGGAUGUUUUAUUUUUGGAAAUGGGUUGUAUAUAGGACUUGGACCGGGUAGGAGGCCCAAGCCUAUUUCUUCUUCUUCUCUCUUUUCUUUCUCUCUUCUCUCUCUCCCUCCCGAGCUCUCUCUCCCCCGCCGGUUUCCUCCGCUCAGAGCACUAGGUUAUUCGUUUCCUUUCUCUUUUUAGUACUACCUUAUAUUCUUGGUCGCACUUAGUGUCUAUAGAGUGAUGGUCCGACCGCGGCGGAUCUAUUAGCAUUAUAUGCUUUAGACACUAUGUGUUGAUUAGGUUUGUGAUGUAGUUGUUCUUCUUUUAUUUAUGGACAGUAGUGUGCCAUAAAUGUCUACAUCUCUAAGACUAUGCCUCCGUACACCGACCUCUUGAGUGUUCAUCCUUCGAGUUUUGAAAAGGUGUAUAGUUUGCAUCUAUUCCAAGGUUCAUUAAUUUAAUAUCUUUGAUAUUAAUGGUUGGAGUUGUUUUGCGAGUGGGGAACGAAAAAGCUUGUUAGCAUUCCUUUCAGGUAUCCAAUGAUUGUUUGGGUUAAAUAAGAUUAAGGUUUCAGAUUAAGAUGCUAAGGUGAGCCUCUUGUGCAAAUCUGUUGGGUGAAAUGUUGAUGAUUAAUGCCUUGAAGUUGUCCAUUUUUUUUUAGUGGGCAAGAUUGGAGUCAAAAAUUGAUUGAUGGGAGAUUUUGGUAUUGAGUUACGUGACUUCUGAGAGAGUUGAGUUGGAAGGAAAGUUCGAAGUAGUGGUGUAUUCUAUUGAUGAAAAAGUUAGUUGAAAUGAUGAGGUGAGGUAUCCAAUGGUAAUUCAAAGGGGUACCUAUAUGAGUUAUUGAGGACCCUAGUCUUGGGUUAAUCAAGGUUUUAGGAAAUUUGUGGCUAGUGAUUGGGUGGUAAGGUAGUGCUGCAUAAAAGAGCUAAAUGUCAAUUUAGAUAAGUCUUGAUUUAAGGCCAUUUUGCCGACAAUUUUAUCCGCAACAUAAAUCAAUUGGGAACAUGUUGGGAUAAUUUUGGUUAUGGCGGUAUAUGUUCUGGUUUCUGCAGUGCUAAUUAUGGAUAUGUUUCUAUCCUUAGAGCAUUUUAUCCAGAUGGUAGUGGUAAUAUAUUUUAAAAAUGAUGGAUGUUAGUAGUCGAUGAAUAGUAAGUUUUCUAAUGAUUUUGGUCUCUAUUGUGGGUUAGUUGAAGUUUGUUAAAGCACUAAGUAGAAUGACUUGGAUUGUUGGUUUUACAAAAGUCAUUCGUCAGUGCGUUGUGACAACUUCUUGUUGUGCCACAGUCGGGGAAUUUUAUAAUUUUAUUGAUGGCAUUAAAUGUUGAGUUUCAAGCAAGUUUGGAAUUAUGGAGUGAGUUGUCGGUUAUAUUAUUUUAACCGUGGGGCCAAUAUGGAUUCUUUUGGAAUUCCAGGUGUUGAAGUUUGGUUUCCAAAUUUGUUGAGUGUUUGGGAAGAUGAUAAUGUAAUGGAAUCGAAAAGUAAUGGUGGAAUGAGAGCGGGAUGGUUGUGGUCACUCCAGUUUUACAACAACACAUGGUGAAAUUUUAAAUAGGUGUUGUCAUGAGUUUUUUUUUUUAUAAAUUCUAAGGUAGUUGCAUGAAAUUGGUGGAAGUGGCAGCGGUAGAAUAGAACCCACUUGAUCAUAAAGCAAGAGUGCGUGGGUGUCUAAAGUAAUUUUUAAGCAAUGUCAUUCCGGGUGGUUGAUGUAAGUCUCAAAUUUGUAAUCGAAGUUGGUUUUGACAUCAUUUCGUUCGCAAUGGGUGACUAACUACGACAUAACAAUGGGAUGAUCUAUUCUCAUCUUAUUUCUAAUUCGGUGAGAUGGAGUAAAGUUUUGGUUGUGGUGUGUGUGGGAAUAUUUAAAUUAUUCAUACUGUAGGUUUUAGGUAGUAUCCUCAGAGCUUGAAAUUUUGGAAUGCGGAUUCAACACUUCGAUUUGAAGGGUAGAGAUUCUGGUUAUUUUGUCGAAGUUUUGAAGUAAAUGAUAUUUGGUAGUUGUGUCGUAGUCAUGGAUCCGGAAUAAAUCCAGUGGUGAUCCUAAGUGAGCUGGAGUUCUUUUAAGUGUUGAGUCUUGAUGCCGUAAAUCCUAUGUGGUAGUUUGAGAGUUGCAUGGUGAUGUUGAUUUUGAUGGUUUGUGUCAUUAUAGGUAUAUUUCAUGAUGUAGCAUUAUGGAAGAGGGUUUUCCCUUGUUGACUCAAGAAGCGUUUAGAGUCAAGGUUUAUUAAGAGCUUUAAUAUUGAGAGUAAUAGUUUUUGAUAGGCUGGUCAGCAUCUCUUAUUGUGGUGGGACCACUCAUUGAUCCAAGUUUGAUUUGAGAGGUCUUCGUUAUUUGGUUGUGCGUUCGUCCGUUGGUGUCAAGAUGAUUAGUGGAGGUUUCUAGUGCGAUUUCGAAGCGGGUUCUGGCGGAUAUAGGAGAUCUGUGGAGCUUUUGAGCUCGAAGUUAGAGGACUUGCUUUUCGUGUGCUUUAAAUUUUUUUUUCUUUUGGAGCUUGAGCUGAGUUAAGCCAUGAGUUUUGAUUCUUGGUAAUUUUACCAAUAUAGUAAAGCCUACAAGUAUUUACCUCUUUUUACCAAUAUAGUAAUUUUCGUUUUUAGACCAUAACUUCUUCAUACGAACUCCGUUUGAAGCGUGCCUCUUGUCCACGAACUCCGUUUAACGUCCUCUACAACUUUCAUGAAGGAAGUUUUCCCAAAUUCCAAACGGAAGAAAAAGUCAACUUUAGGGUCCUUAAGUAGUAAACGGUUACUCAACACGGUAAAAGACCAAAAUAACACCAAAGUAAAUAACCGUAAAAUAACUUAAGAACCGGGGUGUGACAGAAAUAAUGGAGGAAGCUCAUAGUUCUGCAUAUGCUGCUCAUCUAGGUAGCAUAAAAAUGUAUCGGACUUUUGUGAGUAGAUGUUUAAUUUGUCAACAAGUGAAAGCUGAAAGGCAGAAACCUUCUACGUUGCUUAAGCCGUUGUCUAUUCCAGUGUGGCAGUGGGACCACAUCACCAUGGAUUUUGUUUUCAGUUUACCUCGUACCCGUGAAGGGCAUGACGGUAUUUGGGUGAUUGUGGAUAGACUCACCAAAUCUGCACAUUUCUUGCCGGUGGAAAAGAAGUAUACACUGGAUAAAUUUGCGGAGCUUUAUGUGAAUGAGAUUGUGAGGCUUCAUGGUGUACCUGAAUGAAUAGUGUCGGAUCGGGAUCCUAGAUUUGCAUCUAAAUUCUGGGGAGCUCAUUAGGCAGCUUUGGGCACCCGAUUACACUUUAGCACUGCUUUCAUCCUCAGUCCGAUGGGCAAUCAGAGAGGAUUAUUCACACUUUGGAGGAUAUGGUGAGAGCUUGUGCCAUGCAGUUUAGAGGGAGUUGGGAUAAAAACCUAUCUUUGAUGGAAUUUGCUUACAAUAAUAGCUAUCAUUCUAGUAUUGGUAUGGCUCCCUUUAAGGCACUUUAUGAGAAGCAGUGUUGUACACCUUUGUGUUGGAAUGAAGUAGGAGAAAAAGAGCUUUGUGGUCUCGAGUUAAUUCAUGAUACAAAUGAGAAGAUUAAAGUGGUUAGAGAUAGACUCAAGGCCGCUCAAAGUAGGCAGAAGAGUUAUGCAGAUGUUCGUAGGAAGGACCUUGAGUUUCAAGUGGGUGAUUGUGUGUUCUUGAAACUAUCUCCUUGGAAAAAGGCAGUACGUUUUGGUAAACGUGGAAAGCUUAGCCCGACAUAUAUUGGUCCUUAUGAGAUAAUAGAGCGAGUUGGCUCGCUUGCUUAUCGGUUACUUUUGCCUCCAGAAUCAUCCAGGAUACAUAAUGUGUUUCAUGUAUCUAUGUUUCGCAAGUAUAUUGCCGAUCCCUCUCAUGUGCUGCAAGAGCAGUGAUUUGAUGCUAAUUGCAACUUACGCGCAAUAAGAGCAUGGUCAUCAAAGAAGUGGGAAAUAUUUAGACCCGAAGUUAUCGUACCACGGGGAUCACAAGCUAGCUAGCAAUCCUAUGGUCUAAGUCAUCAAUCACUUAUGCAUAUAUGUACAAAGAGGCUCACACAAUGGAUUUACAAAGAAAUUGUAGAGAAUGUGUCAUAAUGUUUUUGGGGUUUUCAACUAACAAACAAACUAAAUAACUAAGACAUAAAAGUAAAAUAGAUAGCAGGAUGGGAUGCAUCACCCAAGGGUCACCAUGGAAUUCAAGGUUCUCUACCCAAAUAAGAAUCAUAUGGCAAUAAUGAUGAUUAACUCAAAAGAUGCUUCAAUGUUUUGCCGGAUUUCCUUUUAGCAUUAAGAGACCGAAAAAAAAGCUAAAUCGGUUGUCACACAAUAGGAGGUAAACCAUAAGGGAAAGUUAGUGGGAGAAAGAACACUUUGGUUUUGCCUAUCCUAGUCUAGCAACCAUUACCACAAAUAAUAAGAUCGAAAAUAGUACUUACGAUAACAAUUACCCUACCCACAAUUCCAAAUACUAUUCCAACAAUCAAGAGAAAUAAUACACAAAAUUGGGUGUUAAGAGACCCACAGUCUAGAGAAAUCCAAAUGGAAAUAGAUAUAUGCAAUAAUGUGCAAAUUCCACCAUACUCAUGCCAUAACAUAAAUUGAAAUACAAAUUCCCAAAUUCAAUAUUCCAAUUCCAACACACCAAACAUAGAUUAAGGAGGGGAAUACCUAAAUCAUACAUCUAGAGUGAGGAAAUUAAUCUAAGAGUACACAAAGCAUAUGAAUAAACAUCAAUUUUAUUAAUUUCUCAUCAACACCAUACAAAUCCAAACUUGGGUUUCAAAAUGACCCUAAAAACAAUGAGAGGUCACACACAAAUACAUAUCCAUACACAUCAACAACACCAUAAGAAAGAGAUAAUAAUAGAGAGAAAGAAAGGGGAGAAAGAAGAGGGAAAGAGAGGAGAAGUCCAUGCAAGUCAAGGCAAAGCUUGUCAAUAGCAAAUGCCCAAACUCCAUGGCUUCUCUUGCUACCCUAUUAUGAAGCCAUGGUGGAGAGAUGGUGGUCAAGAAACCGGAGAUGUGCGUGCCUCCUCCUUGUGAAAGCCUACAUGUGAAGAAUGGAGGAAGGAGAAGAGAAGAGGAGGAGAGGAGGGAGAGAACUCCCAAAUUUGGCCAAAAACAAAGAGAGGAGGAAAACUCGGUCGAGCCUCCUGAAAUGAGAGUAAAAGUCUGCUUAAAUAGCCUCUUAGAUUCAAGGGUCAAGAUUAAACUUAAAACCUAAAUCCAAUGGCUCAAAAACAAGGAGAAAAUGGGUAAAAUGAAAUGCAACACAAUUGGGCUUGGGUCUUCACUUGUGGGCUUCUUUGGUCUUGGUCCGAGUUGACUUCGUUGACGCGUAGGUCAACCCGUUGACUUUUGUCCUUAAGUUGGAAAUUGUCUUUUUUCUCUCAAUUAGCCACUUCUAAUGUCUUUUUCUUCUUUUGACCAUAAUUUCCUACAAAUGAAGAAAACAAAGUAAAUACUAUAAAUAGUGCUUGAGUACUCGCUAAUUUCAAGGUAAUUAAGUAUAGAUGCACACGUAAAUUACAUGUGCAACAAGCAGCCGAUUAGUUUGCAGAAGGAUUUGUCCUAUGAAGAGGAGCCGGUUCAGAUUCUUGACCGAAACGUGCAAGUGCUUAGGAACAAGACAAUCCCAUUUGUCAAGGUGGUUUGAAGAAGUCAUCAAGUAGAGGAAGCUUGUCAGGACCUACCCCGGAUUUCCCCUUGAAAUCCGGGAUAAACCUUGUGAGACCCAUCUCAAGGGAAAUUCUACCAAAAUUUUGGCAUAACCUUACUUGAAAAUGAGUAACCCUACCUGAAAGAAUAACACCAAAACCCAAACACUUCUAAAACAAUUUAAUCCACGUCUUCUGGAGCCAUCUGCUCUCCCAAAUAAUCAUCCACCACCUCAACUGAAAUAAUAGUUCAAAAUAUUUUCAUGAAUUUAAUCCCUCAUACAACAUACCAAAUAAACCUUUUUUUUCAACACUCCUAGGUGGAGUCACAAGUUCUUAACACACAACAACAACAACAACAACAAUAUCACUUAAAACAUCCCAUGGUUAUCAGAAGAAAAUACAUAGGUAGGUUAAACUAGUAACCUAUGAGAGAAAACUGGAUGAGGUGGGAAAUAUGACUCGCCUCCUACCCUCGCCAAACAGAACUCUGCAGACUGGGCAUUUAAAACGAAAGGCCCAGGGGAGAAGCAUUUAAAACGUUAGAGUGAGUAGACAAAAUAAAUAAUAAAAACACGAACUUAAUGAUAGAGCAUUGAAAUCAAUUUAAUGCUUUUCCCAUAUUUUCCAUUGAGAAAAUAUUUAUGCAUGCUAUUCUUGGAAAUCUUUCCAAAAAUAAUUAGAGGCAACAAGAAUGAACCAAUCCCAUUAGUUCCCAAUAAAUCAAUAAAAAUGGGGAAGAGGUUUCACCAUAACGAUGAGCCUCCCAGGCUAGGGUCGGAACCUCCCAGACUAUAAUAACGUCCCACGCUAAGCGCCCUACUCACCUAUGGUGAGUAGUCACUAAUAAUGGCUAGCUAACAUAUAAAUAUAAAUACUGAUCGGUUGCCUCUCAGGCUAUAAUAGCGUCCCACGCUAAACGUCCUACUCACCUAUGGUGAGUAGCCGCUAAUAAUGAUUAGCUAGCAAUAAAGAAUAUAUAUCAACCCUUUAUGGUGAAGUAAAAAUAAAUAAUAUCAAGAAUGUCACUUCCCCAAAAAUAAUAUAAAUCACUUGACAUGUCCCACAUGUCAAAUAAAAUGAGCAAGAGAGUUCCCGAAAAAUAAAUGGAACUCAUUAAAUCCAAUGAAAAAUAUUAAAACUCCAAUAUGCUCACGACACAUUAAAUCUCCAAUAUGCCUCUGAAAUUAAUUAAACUUUAGAGCAUGCAUAACAUUCAAAUCAAGGGUCCACUCACAGUGCUCGGCUAUGCCUGCCGACGACCCGAGGCUUCCUCCAAAUGAUCCUCCUCACGUCCGGAACAAUAAAUAAUUAUUAAGCCUCCAGACCAGGAUAAAACUUUAAUAAAAUUUCCGAAAUAAAAAGGAAGCCUAUAAUUUCAUUUCUCUUGCCCAACUUCUCAACUUUUUACCUAAUAAGGCUCACAUUACUCCGCACUUACCGAAAGCCAUAAUUUAACCUUUUUAGACUUUAAAACCUGCUAAACCAACUGCCGGAUUUCCAUUCGAAUAACCGCCUAAAUCCUUAAUCAUUGAUAAAUCCCAAAUCUUAUCAAAUCUCCUCCAAAAAUUCCAAACUAUACAUCAUUAAACUCCUCUAAUGAAAACAAACCCAAAAUCAAGAAAAACUGACCCCAAGGGGCGGCGGCGGUCGGCAGCCGUAUUCCGGCGACCUCCAAUGCUUCUCAAAUUUUAAUAAAAUAAUCCUCUCAUCAUGCACAAUAACCUUCAUAACUAGCACUUACUCCAAUUCUAAGGCUAACUAGGGUAAUCGAACUAAAACAUCCAUAAAUCCCUAAAACUUCAAUUAUACAUUUCACCCUAACAAGAUCGAAUUAGACCAAUUCCUUUAGAGGGAUUACUCACCUUGAUGAGGGCUACAAGAUGAGCCAAAAAUCUCGACCUAUGGUGGCCGGAGGUGGGAACUCCGGCGAAGAGCUAUCCGGCAUCUCUGGCGGGUUUUCUCCUCUCCGGCGGUGGUACCGGCUCGGACACUAGGCCGGGGAGAGAGAGGAGGUGGCGGGGGUCCGAACUAGAGUGGAACAGCGACCGGUGGCUGGCCGAACGGCGGCAGCUGGCGUUGGAAACUUCAGGCGGGUUAGGGCUCGGGGUGAGCUCAGGAGAGAAGGGAGGAAGAGAGAGAGAGUGAGAGUGAGUGAGGGAGUGAGGGGUGCUGGGCUGCUCCACACCCGGUCAAACACUUAAACCCAAGAAAAAUACCCACUAAAUUUUUACCCCCUUUUACCAACUCAAAUAAUUUACUCUCUUAAUUUAUAACUUUUUCAUGCUAACUCCGAUUUUAACACACAGUAUGUCUACGAACUUGUAAUAACGUCCUCUAUAACUUUCAUGAAAAAAGCUUCCCCAAAUUCCAAACGGAAUAGAAAGUCAACUUUAGGGUCCUUAAGUAGUAAACGGUUACUCAACACGGUAAAAGACCAAAAUAAUACCAAAGUAAAUAACCGUAAAAUAACUUAAGAACCGGGGUGUGACAAAGCUACUUGGGAAUCAGAUGAGCAAAUGAGGCAGCAGUAUCCCUACCUCUUCGAUUGACAGGUAUGUAAAUUUCGAGGACGAAAUUUUUAUAAGGAAAGGAGAAUUGUCACAUCUCGACUCUUAAAUUUUUACCUUAUUUACUAGCUUGGUAUUAAUAAGAAUUUUACCGUUUUCGUCAAUGAGUUAUUAGUUUAAUUGGUCCAUAGAGGGGUUUUGGGGCACGUUUAUUUCGGAGGAUUAAUCGUAGGAGAAAAAUGUGACGACGGUAAAAAUGGUAAAUUUUAGCUAGUAAAAGGUAAUUUUUAUUGAGGUAUUAUUUUUAUGAUGUUAUUUGUGGAGUUGGGUUGUUAAUUGGUGUGGGUAUUAAAGUGUUGGACUGGUUUGGGGAGUAGAGGUUCAAACCAUUUCUCUCCUCUCUUCCUUCUCUCCUUCUCCCCGAUUCUUUCUCUUUCUCCCGCUGCAGGAAGUUUCCGGUCGUUGUCCGGCCAUCAUACGCCGCCGCACCGGUCUCAAUCGGUCGGCCCUUGUUCCCUCUUCCUUCCUGGACCGGUGGUAGCCUCCCUAGGGUCGCCGUGAGAGAGAAAUCAAGCCUAAAAGUCCCGACUGCCCAAAGCUCUCCGUCGGCAGAACUUCCUCCUCCGGCCACCAAUCUGGGCAAGCCUUAUUUGGUUUUGAAGGUCUUCAACCCAGUUGCCUUGCCCUAGAAGGACUCAGUUCAGUUUGCUUCAGGUGAGGAGAACCGGUGAGUGAAAGUUCUAGGUUUUUUGUAAUGUUUUCGUUUAAUUGGCAUAGUUAGGCUUGGAAUUAGUGUUUGUGCUAGUUAGGAAAGUUGUAGAAGGAGUUGAGAGGAAGAUGCUGUCAAAAUUUGGUAGGCAUUGGAGGUAGCCGGAGUCGGCCUCCGGCCGCCGCUGCCGGCGGAGCAGACGGCGGCGCCACCUCUGUUUUGGGGAUUUUCAUGAUUUUAAUUGUGUUAUAUUUAGGGGAGUUUAAUGGUGUGAAUUUUGGAAUUUUUGGAGGAGUUUUGGAUAGGUUUGGGAAUUUUUAAAGAUUGGUAAUUGAUGGAUUAAUAGGGUAGAAUCCGGCCAUUGGAUUAAUGUUGUGUAGACUGUGGAAGGUGGUGUUAAGGCUGCCAUUAUUUUUCGGUGAAGUUUGGAGCAUAUUGAGUUAAGAAUGACGAAGUGGGCAUAGAUGAGUGAGGUUAAGGCUCAUAUUUAAUUUUUGCCUAUUUUGAGUAAAUAUUAGAUUUUUAGUUGGGAAAUUAAUUAUAUAUUUGAAACAGGACGUGAGGAGGCUCGAGCAGAAGAGGCCUCGGAUUGACAUCAGGCUUAGGCCUAAUUUGUGAGUGGACCUUUGUUUUAAUUAAAAGCAUGCGAUGCAUUAUAUUGUUGAUCAGUUAUUCUUCUACUAAAAUCUAUUGCUUUCUCUAAUAUUUGGCAAUUUUCUUCUUUUGGAGAGUCACCGAAAAUGAGAUUUACGGUGGAUUUGUAUAUUGGAUGUUUAUGAGUAUAAUAUGUAUAUAAAUGCUAACUAGCCAUACGUGAUUGGUCCGUCAUAAUGAGGUAAAAUUCCAUUAUGGCAUGACGUGAGUGUUAGACACAAGCGUCAUAGCCCUAUAUGAAAACUACUUUCUUAUUUGGUUCUUAUAGGUUUUCAUAUAGGGAGUCCACACGUAAAUACACUCGUCCUCUUCGGUCAUAAUGAGGAAAAAUUCUAUUAUGGUGCGAUGUGAGCGUUAGACGUGAGCGUUAGACGUGACGAUGCUUGCGUCUAACGCUCACGUCGUAGCCUUGUAUGAAUUUCUGCUUUUCUAUCUUGUUCAUAGAAUUGGUACAAGGAGUCUGACUAGUGUAAAUACAUACACAUAUAUAUUUGUAUAUAGUUUAGCCUGUGAGGAGCUAGUCAUGUAUUUGCCAGUUUGUGAGUAGAAAGCUUUUAGCUGUCGCAUGCAGCAUAAUUUCUAUGAAAAUUAAAAUGGGAAUGCAUAAAUAUUUAUUGUUUAUUUUAUUUUUGUCCACUCACUCUAACGGUUUCAAAUGUUUUGCCCUGAGCCCUUCGUUUUAAAAUGCCCACUCUGCGGAAUUCAGGUUGACACUAGUAGGAGGCGAGGCGUAGUUACCCACAUUUCCACCACUUUUCACCAAUAGGUUAUCUGUUUAACCUACCAGUGUUUUUCUUGCUUCCUCUAGUUUUAGCGGCUCUGAUUACCUUGAGGAUAAUGUAUAUUAGUUCGGUUGUGUGCUAAGUCUUGGAUUUAAAUUUGGAAUAUUUGAAGGUUGAAGUUUGUUAUUUUAUAAUUGGAUAUUUAUGUGAUGGAUUAGAAGAUGGUUUUAUUAUUAUUGUUGUGGUGGUUGUAUUGUGGGGAGCGGGUGGCUCUAGGUGUUGAGGUUGGAUGUGUUCAUAUAGGAGUGUUAUUUGAAUUUUUCAGGUUAGGGUUGUCUUUUUUCAAAGGAGGUUAUGCCGAAUUUUUUGGUAAAUUUUCCUUGGAGGUGGACCCCGCAAGACUUACUUCGGGUUUCAUGAUAAAUUCGGGGUGGGUCUUGACAGUCUUGGCCGCUUUCGAGUACCGUUGCGUAGCUUGUAUGUCGAGAUGUAUGUCAUGGUCGGGUCCCGCCAUAGCUCGUGGGCCCACAAAAAGGGUGUCACUUAUGCUUGGUGGUGUAGGCAUAUUAGCCAUAAUAGUGGCUACACCUACAGAAUGCACUCAUAUUGCUACAAGGUUUUAGGUUUUGAAUAGGGAUGUUAUCUUGAAAUUUUUAGGCUAUAGUUGUGUAGUUUGCAGGCAACCAUUAUGUUUGUUCACUACAGGAAAUAUCGACUUAGUCGAUGGAAUUUUAUUAAUUUCGUCGGCUAAGUGACUCUUCGCCGAUGGAAGCAGAACCGUCGUAUAGGACAUCACAUCCGUCGCCUAAACGGAAAAUAACUGUCGACGUCUUCCGUCGACUAAGCUAUUCAUACUCAACGAAACACUAUUCGUCGUCCAAGUUCCGUUGGUUUAGUAAACCCUAGGCGACGAAUAUCUUCCGUCGGUAUGAUUUCGUCUGCUUAGAUCCUCUUAGGCGACGGAAAUUGACUGUCGACAUAGUCCGUCGUCUAAGAUUUUCUUGGGCGACGAAUAAUGUUCUGUCAAUAUAUCUAGUCUUAGACGACGAAUAAUGUUCGGUCGUCUUAAAUUUUCUUGGGCGACGAAGACUAUUCCGUCGGGUAAGAAAGACUUGGGCGAUGAAUAUUCUUUCUUAGCCGACGAAUUGUUCUGUCGACUAAGAAUUUGAAUUAUUGCCUGACACAAAGCAGAACGAAUAUUUUUUCCGACUCUUUUUGUCUUAGGCGAUGGAAUAUUCUGUCGGCUAAGUUUACACAUCAUUCAUUUAUACACCUUUUGCCCAGACUCCCCCCCCCCCCCUUUCAUCGGAAUAUUCAUCCAAUCCAAAUCUAGUUUUGGAAGCUUUUCUUCAUGAUGAAUUUGAUCGAUCUUUAAGAGCUGCGCGCUUCGAUCUCGAUCUCCUAAUUGGUAUAUAUGUAACUACUUUAAUUAAUUAAUUUACUUUCUUCUUUUAGGCAUAUUUUCCUGCGAACUUUCCGGCGACUUGCAGGUCCAAUUUUGAUAGAUUGUUGCUUACAUGUAUGCUUAAUAUAAUUAUUGGAUAUGUGUGUAUAAUAUGUUUGUACGUACGUAUAAUAUUAUAUAUGCAAGAAAACUAUAUAAUAUUAUGUUUGUAUAUAUAUCUAACUUUUGUGUGUAUAAUUUUUAAAGAUAUAUAUAUAUCUUUAACUUUUGUAUGUAUGAUUAAUAGUUAUGUGAAUAAUAUGUAUAUCAAAUUUUUGUUUUCAUUCAAAUCGAUUUGUGUAUUCGUAUGAUAAAAAAUAAAGUGAUGAAUCAUGAAAUUAAGAAUUAUAAUAUUCUUAUGCAUUCAUCAAUAUAUAUUGUUACCCUUAGAAAUCCCGUUCGAGAACCAUUAUGUUACGAUUGUGUCUAACAAAAUGGUUUUCGAAUUGUCCCAUAUUUGGACAGUUUGGGAGCAUAUGACAUUGAGAUUCCGUUUGUUAUUGGUGCGUUUUGUUUUCGGUUGUGGGUAUAUAUAUUUCGACAAGAUCUUCCUUUAUUGUUCCUCGAGUGUAUUCUAGGUAUAGAUAUUCGUGCACUUGGGGAACUGUAGAGAGAUGCUGUCGAAAUUUUCUCACAUAAACGAAUUUGAAACACCCCAACAACAAAUGAAAUCACAAUGUCAUAUGCUCUCAAACGGGAUUAGGGCCCUAACCAGAGGUAUAAGGUGAAGAAUAUUAUUGGGGUAAUAAUUAAACUCUCAAGUAUGGAAAAUGAUUGGAAAAUUAUGCUCAUAUAUAUGUAAAGUGGGGAAAAUUAUUGGGGGUCAGUAAUUUUCUGUAUUACUUGAUAUAACACAUCCGCCUUCCUUGAGUUUCUUCCAGUUUGAUACUUGGAUGUUUGUUUUACUCUUUUCCAGGUCUUUUCUUUAAUCUGGAAUGCUUCCAAUUUUUGUUAUGCUCAUAUGUUCAAGUGUGAAAAAUUAUUAGGGGUCAGUAAUUUUCUUGACCAGCGCAACCAAAGUUUCUGGAUAAUUGUUAUUACUUAGAUUCCUUUCAACCAUCCUCUAAUGACAUAAUAGGGUAGUAAACUCUCAAGUAUGGAAAAUUAUUGGGGGUCAGUAAUUUUCCUGAACAGAGCAACCAAAGUUUACUGACCCCCAAUAACCACCCUAUAACAAAAAAAAAUUUGAAACUGACAAUCAAAGAUAAAUGAAACUGACAGAAAGAUCAAAGAAAUAGACCAAAAUUACUAAAAGAACAAGUUCUGGCAUUGAAAUUCAAGGUCAUUCUUAUGUUCUUACAACACUACCAAAAUACUACAUAUUUUCACAUUUUGAAGAUCCUACAUCUUACAUAUUUUCACAUUUUGAAGAUCCUAUAUCUAAAGUGGCACUAAUCUUUUUUCUAUAUUGAUGUCCAUGAACUUUAACAGGAUCUUCUUCCUCAUUUCAUUACCACCAUCUUCUGUCGGUCUUUUCCUAUGACAUAGACUCUCUAUAAAGUGGAGCAAAAAUGGUCCACAGUCUGACCUGCAGUGUAUUAAGAAAGUGUUACUAAAUUUUUCACCCUAAUAAAAUAGACAAGUAAUUUCUGACCCCAAUAAAACUCUUUAAAGAAAGUUUAAAGGUACUUACGAUGUUUUGUUUUGCUGCGGGCAGGAUAAGAUAUCAUUCAGCUUGUAUCUUGCUUGAUAAACGUUUUGGUCCAGCAUCCAUCUUCUUGUUCUUUUCUCUUCAGCACUCAUCAUCGAGUAACCGUCAACCACUAUUCCUUGGCUAUCCUGCUUGUCAUAGUUUUCCCUCCAUUCCUCAGGGUUCAAGCCUUGGCUGAGAGGGUAUUUGGUGGAAUCAUAUACGCAUUUGAUGAACACCAUAAUGUGCUUCACCUGUUGGUUCCAACACACAAGUAAAUUACAACUCAAACAAACUAAGAGAAUAAGCAACAAACAAAAACCAGUAGAAGUUUACUGCGCCCCCAGUAAACUUCUUACCCUAAUAAAUCAGUUACAACUCACCACUGCCAUGACAUUUUGAAAGUCGUUGUUGGUGUCGGUAGAGUAAUCUUUUCUUGACGGUAGCAUUGAGUUCAGGUGAUAGAAGCAUCGAGCUUUGUUGUCAAUCAGGACCAAUGUAUAGUGGUGGCUGACCCCGUGAUUUACCGAAAUGAAAACCAGGUCCUUAUUGAAGAUGGACCACAGAGGAUUAAUAAUAGGGUUUAGGGUUAUAACAGCUUCCAUGUAUCAGUGUUGCAGUUCACUCCAUCAAUAACAAUAUUAUUUUGGACUUUAUGCUCCACCUCCUUUGUUCUUUUUGCUGGCUUUAGCCCUUCAGGGGUGUCAUACUCCCAUUCUUCUUCUUUCCUCUUUUGUGCCCCACGCUUCUUUAGGUUGACGUCUCUUUCAAUCGAACCAGUCUCCACAGUUUGUUUUGAGCCCUUCUAGUUGACAUAUUUCUUGAGCCCUUUUGCUUGCUGUUCUUUAUUCUUCAAGCUGGUUUCUUCAUUCAAUUUUUUUCCGGCCAUUUCCACAGCUUGAGCAACAAGUAUGUCUAGUUUAGACAGGUCGACAUCGGUCAUCACAGGUUCAUCGUCUUCUGGAAAUAUUUUUCGCAACGGAACUAGUUCUGCUACUUGUUCAAAAAACUACACAAAAGAAAACACACAAGUUAUCCUCAACAAAAUGAAGAAAACACAAUAUUUAUUGGGGGUCAAUAAACUGAUUUCUACUCUUACCUCUUCAGUUCCUGGUUGCUCCUCUCUGCAGCUAUGAUCCUUCCUAUUUUGUCUCUGCAGUUAUAUUCUUCCUCUUGAACCGGCUUUGACCUAUCCUCCUCCUCCUCCUCCUCCUUCUCCUUAGUUACACAUAUUAUCUGCUUUGUUUGAGCAUGUUUUGCCCCCUUGUGCAACAGUUUCCUGAGAGCGUUGAUUUGGUUUUUGUCUGCCCUCCUUUCUUUCUCUAGCUCAAUGAUUUGGUUGUCCGCUUUCUUUAACUUGCAGAGCAAUUCAGUGUUUUUGUUCACCAGUUCUUCAUUUGCUUUGGCAAGUUCUGUCAGCUUCUGCAUAUCUUUCAUCAGCAGCUCCUGUACACGUUAUAACAAUGAAAUCGUUACUGUUAAACAAUUAUAUCUAAAUAAACAAGUUUACUCGCCCCCAGUAAACUUCUACUGGCGNNNNNNNNNNNNNNNNNNNNNNNNNNNNNNNNNNNNNNNNNNNNNNNNNNNNNNNNNNNNNNNNNNNNNNNNNNNNNNNNNNNNNNNNNNNNNNNNNNNNNNNNNNNNNNNNNNNNNNNNNNNNNNNNNNNNNNNNNNNNNNNNNNNNNNNNNNNNNNNNNNNNNNNNNNNNNNNNNNNNNNNNNNNNNNNNNNNNNNNNNNNNNNNNNNNNNNNNNNNNNNNNNNNNNNNNNNNNNNNNNNNNNNNNNNNNNNNNNNNNNNNNNNNNNNNNNNNNNNNNNNNNNNNNNNNNNNNNNNNNNNNNNNNNNNNNNNNNNNNNNNNNNNNNNNNNNNNNNNNNNNNNNNNNNNNNNNNNNNNNNNNNNNNNNNNNNNNNNNNNNNNNNNNNNNNNNNNNNNNNNNNNNNNNNNNNNNNNNNNNNNNNNNNNNNNNNNNNNNNNNNNNNNNNNNNNNNNNNNNNNNNNNNNNNNNNNNNNNNNNNNNNNNNNNNNNNNNNNNNNNNNNNNNNNNNNNNNNNNNNNNNNNNNNNNNNNNNNNNNNNNNNNNNNNNNNNNNNNNNNNNNNNNNNNNNNNNNNNNNNNNNNNNNNNNNNNNNNNNNNNNNNNNNNNNNNNNNNNNNNNNNNNNNNNNNNNNNNNNNNNNNNNNNNNNNNNNNNNNNNNNNNNNNNNNNNNNNNNNNNNNNNNNNNNNNNNNNNNNNNNNNNNNNNNNNNNNNNNNNNNNNNNNNNNNNNNNNNNNNNNNNNNNNNNNNNNNNNNNNNNNNNNNNNNNNNNNNNNNNNNNNNNNNNNNNNNNNNNNNNNNNNNNNNNNNNNNNNNNNNNNNNNNNNNNNNNNNNNNNNNNNNNNNNNNNNNNNNNNNNNNNNNNNNNNNNNNNNNNNNNNNNNNNNNNNNNNNNNNNNNNNNNNNNNNNNNNNNNNNNNNNNNNNNNNNNNNNNNNNNNNNNNNNNNNNNNNNNNNNNNNNNNNNNNNNNNNNNNNNNNNNNNNNNNNNNAGCCAGAAAAUCUGAAGUGAAAAAUGAGUGCAUACCUUGUGAGAAUGAAUCAUACUUGUUUGAAACAUGCUGAGCUUAAAUAUCACCAUUGUUCUAUCAGGUUCUACAUGUAAGUAUGUGAUCUAUGCAUGGCAAUUAGCUUCUGAAACUUCAUGGAAUGAUUCUUGAUUGAGUGCUAAUUUUGAUGCCAUGAGAUUGGAGAUUCUGAGACAAUAUGUUAUGGGCAAUAGAGUUGUUUGUUUGUUAAGUUUUGUAGUGUAUAGUUUCUGGUUUGAGUGUAUUGAGUCUUUUGUUUGAUUUUGCUAAGGGACUAGCAAAAGCUAAGUGUGGGGGAAUUUGAUAGGUGCAUUUUAUGCAACGUUCUUAAUGUAUUUCCGACCCUAUUUAGUUAUGUAAUUCCUUUAACAAUAUUGAUUUUAACUUAGUUUGUGUUUUUAGGUCACAAAUAAAGCCGAGGAGCACAAAAGAGGCAAAAGAGGAGAAAUCUUGAAGGAAAAGGAAUCCAUAUGGCGCAAGGAAAGAAAUCAGAAAAUCUGCCAGUUAUAGUCAGUCAACUUCGACAGAGAAUUGUGAUCAGCUCACAACGAUCCAGGAGAUGAACUUUAUAUCAGCAGAAAGCUAGAAGAGUCUAGCUUUCAGAACUUUUCGCAGAUCGUCAAUAGCUAUUUUGGUGACCAAGUUAUGACCGUUUGAGUGACCAAAGGUCAGUCUGCCCGAAUUUCUGAUUUGGACCGGAACUUCAAUUUCAAGGCCCAGACCACAACGGCGAGCCCAUGGACGAAAAUUAAAGGUUCUCUAACCCUAAUAGCAGCUGUUCAUAUGUUCUCUAUAUGUAUGAGGAGUCGGAGACGUGAAAGGGUCGCUCUUGGCCGCAGAAAAACAACGCCUUUCAUCUCCUUCAAAAAUUCUUCUCCAAACACAAACCCUAAUUUUAGGAUUUCUCCUGCCUUCUCCUCUGUAAUUCUCGGCGUAGUUCCUUGUUUCAAUACUCAAAGUGUAAUCUAAACUCAUACCUCAUGUUUUCUUUUAUUAUCUAUUCAAUUACUUUAGUUUGUUUCCAUCUCUCUUAUUCGUUUGUGUUCAUGAGUUGGAUUUUUGAUUGAGUUUGUUCUUAUAAUCAUGAAAAUCAGAUCUGUACACUUGAGUUGUUGGUGUAAUUGAUGAUGCUUUUGAUGAUCUAAAUUAUGUUUAUAUGUGUGAUUGACAACUUAUGACUUGUUCUUAAUCAAUAUGUGUCAUUGUUUGUGUUAAGUCCGCGUCGGUAAACAUGAACUAGAAUGGUAAGGAGU
rnacentral:lncRNA from 1 species